rnacentral:rRNA from 1 species
UGGGGAAUUUUGGACAAUGGGCGUAAGCCUGAUCCAGCCAUGCCGCGUGAGUGAAGAAGGCCUUCGGGUUGUAAAGCUCUUUCGGUGGGGAAGAAAUUGCUUCGAUUAAUACUCGGAGCAGAUGACGGUACCCGCAUAAGAAGCACCGGCUAACUACGUGCCAGCAGCCGCGGUAAUACGUAGGGUGCGAGCGUUAAUCGGAAUUACUGGGCGUAAAGCGUGCGCAGGCGGUGAUGUAAGACAGAUGUGAAAUCCCCGGGCUCAACCUGGGAACUGCGCUUGUGACUGCUAAGCCAGAGUACGGCAGAGGGGGGUGGAAUUCCACGUGUAGCAGUGAAAUGCGUAGAGAUGUGGAGGAACACCGAUGGCGAAGGCAGCCCCCUGGGCCGAUACUGACGCUCAUGCACGAAAGCGUGGGUAGCAAACA